rnacentral:rRNA from 1 species
UACGUAGGGGGCAAGCGUUGUCCGGAAUUACUGGGCGUAAAGCGUGCGUAGACGGCUAUCUAAGUCGGGUGUGAAAGCCCCGGGCUCAACCUGGGAAUUGCAUUCGAGACUGAAUAGCUAGGGUACGGUAGAGGGAAGUGGAAUUUCCGGUGUAGCGGUGAAAUGCGUAGAUAUCGGAAGGAACACCAGUGGCGAAAGCGGCUUCCUGGUCCAGCACCGACGUUCAGGCACGAAAGCGUGGGGAGCAAACAGG